rnacentral:rRNA from 1 species
UACGUAGGCAGCGAGCGUUGUUCGGAGUUACUGGGCGUAAAGGGUGUGUAGGCGGUUGUUUAAGUUUGGUGUGAAAUCUCCCGGCUCAACUGGGAGGGUGCGCCGAAUACUGAAUGACUUCGAGUGCGGGAGAGGAGAGUGGAAUUCCUGGUGUAGCGGUGAAAUGCGUAGAUAUCAGGAGGAACACCGGUGGUGUAGACGGCUCUCUGGACCGUAACUGACGCUGAGACACGAAAGCGUGGGGUAGCAAACAGG